rnacentral:rRNA from 1 species
UUUUGUAACAAUGGCUUUAGUGGCGGACUGGUGAGUAACACGUGAGCAACCUGCCUAUCAGAGGGGGAAUAACAGUGAGAAAUCAUUGCUAAUACCGCAUAUGCCAUAACUACCGCAUGGUAGAAGUGGGAAAGGAGCAAUCCGCUGAUAGAUGGCCUUGCGUCUGAUUAGUUAGUUGGUGGGGUAACGGCCUACCAAGCCAACGAUCAGUAGCCGACCUGAGAGGGUGACCGGCCACAUUGGGACUGAGACACGGCCCAAACUCC